UCGCGUUGCUAUGGCAACACAACCCACUUCCCCUGGGACCGCGUUGCCUCGGCGACAUCAGGCGGGCAACGCCGGCGGAUUAAAUCGACUCAGAGCAACUGCCCCCUGAAAAACAGGACAACCCUGGCCUCGGGGAACAUGGGAGCCCAGAGGUUCAUCUCACCAGAGCCUGGGAAUGUAGAACAGCCAUGUGACUAACGUGAUUAUCAGCUCUGUCAGAAAGAAAAAUUAGACACGAAAAUCAAGAUGAGCAUCUUCCAUGGACACCUCACUUCAAGAUCUUACCAUUAUUCCAAGCAAAGCUUUAGCAGCUCUUCCCAGGUCCCAGGGAGGUUAGGAGCUCAGCAGGAUGACUUUGACAGAGCAGCUGAAAUGGGCAGCUUUAAGCAUCAGUGUCUGGAAUUGCAAGAAAGAAGAGGCACAUCUGUCCUCCCAAGAAGUGUCAGUAUUUCUGAAACAUCGCUUGGACAUGCUACUUCCUAGACGGACUCUUCCAUCAUUGCCCUCCAUUCCCUGGAGCACCACACUGAGUGUGGCCAUGACAUGCUGGCAUGGAACUCACCAGUCUGGAAACGGGAUUUCAGCACGUCUGGUGGAAUGGCAACUGCCCAGUUGAAGAUGCCAGCCAGGCCCCCAGCAAAGAGGAUCCUCGGCACACUGAGGUCACUCACACUGCAGCAU